GACGAACGCUGGCGGCGUGCUUAACACAUGCAAGUCGAACGGGUCUGCCCUGUUUUUUGCGGGGUGGGUCAGUGGCGAACGGGUGAGUAACACGUGAGUAACCUGCCCCUCACUUCUGGAUAACCGCUUGAAAGGGUGGCUAAUACGGGGUGUUCUGGCUGUGCCGCAUGGUGUGGCUGGGAAAGAUUCACUUUUGUGGUGUUUUGGUGGGGGAUGGGCUCGCGGCCUAUCAGCUUGUUGGUGGGGUGAUGGCCUGCCAAGGCUUUGACGGGUAGCCGGCCUGAGAGGGUGGGCGGUCACACUGGGACUGAGAUACGGCCCAGACUCCUGCGGGAGGCAGCAGUGGGGGGUAUUGCACAAUGGGCGGAAGCCUGAUGCAGCGACGGCGCGUGAGGGAUGGAGGCCUUCGGGUUGUGAACCUCUUUCGCCGGUGAAGAAGGUCCUGCUCUUUGUGGUGGGGUUGACGGUAGCCGGGUUAUGAAGCGCCGGCUAACUACGU
rnacentral:rRNA from 1 species